AACAAGGCGUACCUGCGGACCUGCGGAAGGAUCAUUACAGAGUUGCAAAACUCCCUAAACCAUUGUGAACGUUACCUAAACCGUUGCUUCGGCGGGCGGCCCGGGUCCUUCCCGGCGCCCAUCGGCCCUCGCGGGCGCCCGCCGGAGGUAAACCAAACUAUUGCAUUGUAUGGCCUCUCUGAGUCUUCUGUACUGAAUAAGUCAAAACUUUCAACAAUGGAUCUCAGAUCGGAAGAGCAC
rnacentral:misc_RNA from 1 species